rnacentral:rRNA from 1 species
CACGUAGGGGGCGAGCGUUGUCCGGAUUUAUUGGGCGUAAAGAGCUCGUAGGCGGCUCGGUAAGUCAGGUGUGAAACCUCCAGGCUCAACCUGGAGACGCCACCUGAUACUGCCGUGGCUAGAGUCCGGUAGAGGAGCGUAGAAUUCCUGGUGUAGCGGUGAAAUGCGUAGAGAUCAGGAAGAACACCAGUGGCGAAGGCGCUCUGCUAGGCCGUAACUGACACUGAGGGACGAAAGCUAGGGGAGCGAAUGGG